UACGGAGGGGGCUAGCGUUGUUCGGAUUCAUUGGGCGUAAAGGGUGCGUAGGUGGUUGGGUAAGUCAAAUGUGAAAUCCCGGAGCUCAACUCCGGAACUGCAUUCGAUACUGCCCGGCUCGAGGAUUGGAGAGGAGACUGGAAUUCACGGUGUAGCAGUGAAAUGCGUAGAGAUCGUGAGGAACACCCGUGGCGAAGGCGGGUCUCUGGACAAUUCCUGACACUGAGGCACGAAGGCCAGGGGAGCAAACGGG
rnacentral:rRNA from 1 species